UACGUAGGGGGCAAGCGUUAUCCGGAUUUACUGGGCGUAAAGGGAGUGCAGGCGGUCCGGCCAGUCUGAUGUGAAAGCCCGGGGCUCAACCCCGGGACUGCAUUGGAAACUACCGGACUGGAGUGUCGGAGAGGUAAGUGGAAUUCCUAGUGUAGCGGUGAAAUGCGUAGAUAUUAGGAGGAACACCAGUGGCGAAGGCGACUUACUGGACGAUAACUGACGCUGAGGCUCGAAAGCGUGGGGAGCAAACAGG
rnacentral:rRNA from 1 species